UACGAAGGGGGCUAGCGUUGCUCGGAUUGACUGGGCGUAAAGGGUGCGUAGGCGGGUCUUUAAGUCAGGGGUGAAAUCCUGGAGCUCAACUCCAGAACUGCCUUUGAUACUGAAGAUCUUGAGUUCGGGGAGAGGUGAGUGGAACUGCGAGUGUAGAGGUGAAAUUCGUAGAUAUUCGCAAGAACACCAGUGGCGAAGGCGGCUCACUGGCCCGAUACUGACGCUGAGGCACGAAAGCGUGGGGAGCAAACAGG
rnacentral:rRNA from 1 species